rnacentral:lncRNA from 1 species
GUUCCUGUGCGCGGCGAACCAGCAGUAACACUUGGCAUGCACUGGCAGUGCCCAUCUGUUCCUAAGUGUGUGAUCAGCAACAUUACGUUGGUAACUUAAAAUUGGCCAUGGUGAAAGUGUUUACACCACAGUCAUUGGCAAACCCUAGAAAUCGAAGAUUCUAAAUUCCUGGGAGAACGGCUUAUUAAACCUCAACCAGCACACCGCUGCACGUUGUUGGACAUUUUACUGGCUAUUCCUGCUCAGGUGUGUGUAAGUCUUCUUGCGUUUGGCUCCCCCCGGGCUGAGCGUGGCUGGGCUGGGCUCCCCACUCUGGGUGGGUCCAGGCCUGCUCACUGCAUCUCUCAUCCUCCCUCUGCAGCCACCUGAGGCCUGUUCUUCUCACGGCGGAGGGCAGGCACUCACAGGGUGAGGCCAGCGGUGCCCAUGUAUUCCAAGCUACUGCUCACGUCAUGUCUGCUAAUGUCCCAGUGGUCAAAGCAGGUCACCAGGUGGCCAAGCCUAGUGACAAUGGGGGAGGGGAUAGCUCCUCCCAUGGAGGUCAAGGGGGAAGGAAUUUGAGAUUUGCUGAACCACCAUCAAACCUGGAGACUGAGAAUGCAUUGGGGAGAGGGGGUCUCCUUCCAGACUGUGCCCGUGUGAAUUAGGGGCAAAUACUGGCCUCCUGGGGCAGGGGACUUGGCGUCUUUGAUUCCAUGUCCCCUGCACCUGGGCCAGGGCUUGACCCAUAGGAGCAGCUCUGUAAAUAUUUGUUGACUGAUUGAAAAAGAGGAUAACAUUUGUAUUACCUCCCAUCGGAGCCCUACUGGAAUUAGCACAGAAC